UUGCCGGGUCAGCUAGAGUCGGGGCAAUUUAAUAGGCCACAUUUGACAUCUGUCAGAAUAAUCUCCAUAGUGAGGUGAGCUGCAUAAAAACAUCGACCAAAACGAAUAAAUCGAUACGCACUUGAAAUAAAAUAUUUGAAUUUUAUAUGUUAUUUAUAAAACCAAAAACGAAUUCCUGUCCUAUUAUUACUUUUUUUUUGCAAAUUCAAGGAGCAAAAUAAGACAAGUACAUAAUUUACAAGAAA